rnacentral:rRNA from 1 species
GACGAACGCUGGCGGCGUGCUUAACACAUGCAAGUCGAACGAAGAGCGAUGGAAGCUUGCUUCUAUCAAUCUUAGUGGCGAACGGGUGAGUAACGCGUAAUCAACCUGCCCUUCAGAGGGGGACAACAGUUGGAAACGACUGCUAAUACCGCAUACGAUCUAAUCUCGGCAUCGAGGAUAGAUGAAAGGUGGCCUCUACAUGUAAGCUAUCACUGAAGGAGGGGAUUGCGUCUGAUUAGCUAGUUGGAGGGGUAACGGCCCACCAAGGCGAGGAUCAGUAGCCGGUCUGAGAGGAUGAACGGCCACAUUGGGACUGAGACACGGCCCAGACUCCUACGGGAGGCAGCAGUGGGGAAUCUUCCGCAAUGGGCGAAAGUCUGACGGAGCAACGCCGCGUGAGUGAUGACGGCCUUCGGGUUGUAAAGCUCUGUUAAUCGGGACGAAAGGCCUUCUUGCGAAUAGUGAGAAGGAUUGACGGUACCGGAAUAGAAAGCCACGGCUAACUACGUG